rnacentral:rRNA from 1 species
AAGCCGAAGGGAAACCAAGUCUUAAUAGGGCGCACAGUUUGUUUCAUAUGACCCGAAACCGGGUGACCUAUCCAUGUCCAGGUUGAAGUGGCGGUAAAACGCCAUGGAGGACCGAACCAACCCCCGUUGAAAAGGUGGUGGAUGAGGUGUGGAUAGCGGAGAAAUUCCAAUCGAACUCGGAUAUAGCUGGUUCUCCCCGAAAUAGCUUUAGGGCUAGCGUUGUGUUAGAUUACCGGAGGUAAAGCACUGAAUAGGCUAGGGGGCGAGAGUCUACCGACCCUUAUCAAACUCUGAAUGCCGGAUAAUUGAUGCACAGCAGUCAGACAGUGUGAGAUAAGUUUCAUUGUCAAAAGGGAAACAGCCCAGACCCACAGCUAAGGUCCCAAAUGUAUGUUAAGUGGAAAAGGAUGUCCAGUUGCACAAACAACCAGGAUGUUGGCUUAGAAGCAGCCACACAUUCAAAGAGUGCGUAACAGCUCACUGGUCGAGUGACCGGGCGCCGAAAAUGUAACGGGGCUAAACAUACAACCGAAGCUUGGGCUGCACAGCAAUGUGCGGGGUAGGGGAGCGUUGUGUGCGGGGUGAAGCAUGAGCGGAAGCGCGUGUGGACUGCACAGAAGUGAGAAUGCCGGAAUGAGUAGCGCGAAUUAUGUGAGAAUCAUAAUGGCCGAAAGCCUAAGGUUUCUGGAGGAAGGUUCGUCCGCUCCAGGUUAGCCGGGAGCUAAGGUGAGGCCGAAAGGCGUAGCCGAUGCACAUACGGUGGAGAUUCCGUAGCCAUCAAAAGAUUUAAGCAGAGGGACACAGUAGAAGGGUACAUGCCGGGCGUUGGUAGCCCCGGUUGUAAGGGACCGAAAUUAGAGUAGGGAAGAUGAACUUGGAUACUGGCGAGAAAAGCUCUGUGGAUAUCUGCGAUGCCCGUACCGCAAACCGACACAGGUAGGUAGGAAGAGGAUUCUAAGGCCAACGGGAGAAGGGUUGUUAAGGAACUCGGCAAGUUGACCCCGUAACUUCGGGAGAAGGGGUGCUCUGGAAACAGAGCCGCAGAGAAUAGGUCCAGGCAACUGUUUAGCAAAAACACAGCUCUCUGCUAAAUCGAAAGAUGAUGUAUAGGGGGUGACGCCUGCCCGGUGCUGGAAGGUUAAGAGGAGGAGUGAGAGCCCCGAAUCGAAGCCCCAGUAAACGGCGGCCGUAACUAUAACGGUCCUAAGGUAGCGAAAUUCCUUGUCAGGUAAGUUCUGACCCG